CUAAAGCCUCCUUCAACCAGACAACCACAGCUAAAAACCAAACAAGCCCAAAUCAGUAACUAUUGAUUCUGGUGUUUCUUCAACUAUUUUCGAGGCCUAAAAACGAAGAUUUGAAGUUUUCUUGUCAUAAAUCAUGAAAAAUUCAAUGUUAAUCUACAAAUCUAAGUACAAGUAAAUAAUCUUGUCAGAACUGGUUAAUAUUUUUUUUAUUUUUUUUCUGAACUGGUUAAUAUCGGAUCUGAAAAGUUAUGGAAGUUUUGUGACUCAAAUCAAAUGAAUGUGGGAUGAUGUGGUUGUUAUUGAUUGAUUUGAAUCAAUUUGUUUGUGUUAUGGGUUGAAUUAGUUCAAGAUAAAUCAAUUUGGUGGUGUUUUGGGUUUGAUUGGUUGAAGACUGCCAGCCAUCACACAAAAUUGUUGUCAGUGUUAAUUCUGAAACUGUGAUAACUUUUCUUGUUGUUACAAGGGAUUGAAAAAUCAAAAGAACACUCCAUAUUAAAAUUUGAAAUUUAUGCUUUUUCUUGUAUUGUCAUGGCAGGUUCAGGAUGGAGGAGGUGAUGAUUGAUGAAGAUGAUAAAUAGGAACUUGGGCAAUAGCAAGGGUGAAAUUAGCUAAUAAAUGAUCCUUUCUACUUUUCUUGCAUUCUUGUAGCCUUUUUAUUUGUAUGAAAUAUUUCUGUAAAUGAGUUGAUCAUGUUUGAUGUUUUAUGGAACUAGAACAAACGAAACCAAAACAGAAAUUGAAAGAGACUUGGUGGAGCAUAUGCAUAAACCUUGGACUCACCUCUCUCAGUUUAGAUGCGAGUAUCAUCAUAUUCUGCCUCACAAGGUUAUGUUAGGAUCUAGAGUUACCCAUCUUCAAAUUUUCCACACUUGUAUGCUACGACAUAUUUCUUGCACCUAAACUAUUGCUCAUUUUUAGGUGUCCAUAUGGAUGUUCAACUGAAAGCUUACUAUUGACUACACUCCUACCAUUCUUUCAAAUUAACUUCUCAUUUAUGUCUACUGUCUUUAAGUUUCUAUAAUCGAAGUCCAAAUAUGUUUCCUUCAUGGAAUUGCUUACUGGAAAGAUAAUGGUUGCAAUUGCAUUAACGUCCGCAACAAAAGUUGGAGGAUCAUUUGUUUUCUUCAUGUGCUCAGUGUUACUGAUGGUAGCUUAAUUCCAAGUGACUUGAUGCCUAACUCAUAUUACCAGUAGGUAACCGUUGCAACUAAUUUGGAUGAGUACCAGGAUGUUUCUACUAAAUUAUUAUCAUGGUCUAUUUUUCUUUUAUUCUACUUGUUCUAUUCUAACUUUUAACAGAUGAAUGUACAUUCCUGCUGUGAUUUCCACAUACAUGUUGUGAAAGCAUAAUGUGAUAUGAAUUUCAGUACUUUCAAGGUUCCUUGACUCAUUACUAUCAGGUUAUGUUUUAAUUACUUCCUUCUUUUUUACAUGUGAUGGUGGGAGGUAGCAGGUACUCCGUGUAUUAGACAAGGUGCAUGAAAGCUAGCACCGAUACCAU
rnacentral:lncRNA from 1 species